rnacentral:rRNA from 1 species
UACGUAGGGCGCAAGCGUUGUCCGGAAUUAUUGGGCGUAAAGAGCUCGUAGGCGGCUUGUCACGUCGGGUGUGAAAGCCCGGGGCUUAACCCCCGGGUCUGCAUUCGAUACGGGCUAGCUAGAGUGUGGUAGGGGGAGAUCGGAAUUCCUGGUGUAGCGGUGAAAUGCGCAGAUAUCAGGAGGAACACCGGUGGCGAAGGCGGAUCUCUGGGCCAUUACUGACGCUGAGGAGCGAAAGCGUGGGGAGCGAACAGG